UACAGGGGGGGCAAGCGUUGUUCGGAAUUACUGGGCGUAAAGGGCUCGUAGGUGGCCAACUAAGUCAGACGUGAAAUCCCUCAGCUUAACUGGGGAACUGCGUCUGAUACUGGAUGGCUUGAGUUUGGGAGAGGGAUGCGGAAUUCCAGGUGUAGCGGUGAAAUGCGUAGAUAUCAGGAAGAACACCUAUGGCGAAGGCAGCUCUCUGGGACGGUACUGACGCUGAGACGCGAAAGCGUGGGGAGCGAACAGG
rnacentral:rRNA from 1 species